rnacentral:rRNA from 1 species
ACGAAGGGGGCUAGCGUUGUUCGGAAUCACUGGGCGUAAAGGGCGCGUAGGCGGCUGUUCAAGUCGGGGGUGAAAGCCUGUGGCUCAACCACAGAAUUGCCUUCGAUACUGGACGGCUCGAGACCGGGAGAGGUCAGUGGAACUGCGAGUGUAGAGGUGAAAUUCGUAGAUAUUCGCAAGAACACCAGUGGCGAAGGCGGCUGACUGGUCCGGUUCUGACGCUGAGGCGCGAAAGCGUGGGGAGCAAACAGGA